GGUUUUAGGUGUAAUGGUUAGCACGUCGGAUUUUGAUUCCGGAGAUAUUGGUUCGAUUCCUAUAUGAACCU
rnacentral:tRNA from 1 species